GGGCUUGUGGUUUAGUGGUAUAAUACUCCCUUAGCAUCUGAUGGUGUUCUUCUCCCUUUCGAGAAGUCCGCCCACGAGAAACUUGGGAGUGGUCCGGGGUUCGAUUCCCCGCGAGUCCA